AUGAGCUGUGGUGCCAUACAGAUGUGGCUCGGAUCUGGUGUUACUGUGGUGGUGGUGNNNNNNNNNNNNNNNNNNNNNNNNNNNNNNNNNNNNNNNNNNNNAAAAAAAAAAAAAAAAAAAAAAAAAAAAAAAAAAAAAAAAAUCUUUCAGCAAACGUGGCCAAUAUUACUAGUGCUGGUCAAUAUUUUAGUUCUCAUCAUCUUGGCCACACGGAUUCUAUUUCUCAAUUCCUUUUGCAGAUGGGCCACAAGAUCAAAACAGCUCUGGUGCAAAAUCAACACUUGGUGGAAUUCUAGACGUGGCUCAGUGAGAACGAGAACAAACCCAACUUGUAUCCAUGAGGACGCAAGUUUGAUCUCUGGCCUCUCUCAGUGAGUCAAGGAUCCAUUGUUGCCAUGAGUUGUGGUGUAGUUCAAAGACAUGGCUCAGAUCCGGCAUUGCUGUGGCUGCGGUGUAGGCCGGCAGCUGCAGAUCCAAUUUGUCUCCUAGCCUGGGAAGUUCCAUAUGCUGCGGGUGUGGCCCUAAAAAGCAAAACCAAACAAAAAAAGGAAAUUCAACACUUGGAGCACAGCCACCCUGGACACCCAGCAGUUUCUGGGUGUCAUCAGUACAGCGUGAUGAACCCCUGAGAUGUUGAUAUCAUUGUUACUCCAGCAUAACCUGCCCCCCCAACCAAAAGAGUUAAUGGCACAAUUGCAUGCUAAGAAAACUUGAGAUACUUAAUAGAAAAUUACUAGAUUUAAUGAGAAAAUUUGGUAAAGUCACUACCUAUUAGAUAAAUACAAAAAACUUUUCUGUACUCUAAGGGCAUAAGCCCUUAGAAAGGAAAACUGGAAACAUGCUUUGUGUAUAUUUGUGACAAAAGACAUAAAAUAUUUAGAAACAAAUUUUAGAAGGGAGAUUUUGGACCCACAUGAGUAGUUAUAAGAUACUAUUAUGAGAAUGAAAGUAAGAUUUGAAUAUAUAGAAAAGUAUCCACAAAAUAAAAUGUUUAUUCUCCCAAAUAAUAUAUAAAUC
rnacentral:lncRNA from 1 species